rnacentral:rRNA from 1 species
GACGAACGCUGGCGGCGUGCUUAACACAUGCAAGUCGAACGGGAAGGCCCUGCUUUUGUGGGGUGCUCGAGUGGCGAACGGGUGAGUAACACGUGAGUAACCUGCCCUUGACUUUGGGAUAACUUCAGGAAACUGGGGCUAAUACCGGAUAGGAGCUCCUGCUGCAUGGUGGGGGUUGGAAAGUUUCGGCGGUUGGGGAUGGACUCGCGGCUUAUCAGCUUGUUGGUGGGGUAGUGGCUUACCAAGGCUUUGACGGGUAGCCGGCCUGAGAGGGUGACCGGCCACAUUGGGACUGAGAUACGGCCCAGACUCCUACGGGAGGCAGCAGUGGGGAAUAUUGCACAAUGGGCGGAAGCCUGAUGCAGCAACGCCGCGUGCGGGAUGACGGCCUUCGGGUUGUAAACCGCUUUCGCCUGUGACGAAGCGUGAGUGACGGUAAUGGGGAAAGAAGCACCGGCUAACUACGU